rnacentral:rRNA from 1 species
UACGGAGGAUGCAAGCGUUAUCCGGAUUUAUUGGGUUUAAAGGGUGCGCAGGUUGUUUGAUAAGUCAGUGGUGAAAGUCUGUCGCUUAACGGUAGGAUUGCCAUUGAUACUGUUAGACUUGAAUAUGGAUGAGGUAGGCGGAAUGUGUAGUGUAGCGGUGAAAUACAUAGAUAUUACACAGAACACCGAUUGCGAAGGCAGCUUACUAAUCCAUCAUUGACGCUGAGGCACGAAAGCGUGGGGAUCAAACAGGA